rnacentral:rRNA from 1 species
GAUGAACGCUGGCGGCGUGCCUAAUACAUGCAAGUCGAGCGAACAGAUAAGGAGCUUGCUCCUUUGACGUUAGCGGCGGACGGGUGAGUAACACGUGGGUAACCUACCUAUAAGACUGGGAUAACUUCGGGAAACCGGAGCUAAUACCGGAUAACAUUUGGAACCGCAUGGUUCUAAAGUGAAAGAUGGUUUUGCUAUCACUUAUAGAUGGACCCGCGCCGUAUUAGCUAGUUGGUAAGGUAACGGCUUACCAAGGCAACGAUACGUAGCCGACCUGAGAGGGUGGUCGGCCACACUGGAACUGAGACGCGGUCCAGACUCCUACGGGAGGCAGCAGUAGGGAAUCUGCCGCAAUGGGCGGAAGCCUGACGGAGCAACGCCGCGUGAGUGAUGAAGGGUUUCGGCUCGUAAAACUCUGUUAUUAGGGAAGAACAAACGUGUAAGUAACUGUGCACGUCUUGACGGUACCUAAUCAGAAAGCCACGGCUAACUACGUG